GAUGAAGAACGUAGCGAAAUGCGAUACGUAGUGUGAAUUGCAGAAUUCAGUGAAUCAUCGAAUCUUUGAACGCACAUUGCGCCCGCCAGUAUUCUGGCGGGCAUGCCUGUUCGAGCGUCAUUUCAACCAUCAAGCCCUGCUUGCGUUGGGGUCCUGCGGCUGCCCGCAGGCCCUGAAAACCAGUGGCGGGCUCGCUAGUCACACCGAGCGCAGUAAUACAUCUCGCUUUGGGCGUGCGGCGGGUUCUUGCCGUUAAACACCCCCUUUUUACCAAGGUUGACCUCGGAUCAGGUAGGAAUACCCGCUGAACUUAAGCAUAUCAAUAAGCGGAGGA
rnacentral:misc_RNA from 1 species